rnacentral:rRNA from 1 species
UUAGGGUCGGGACGGGGUAGGAGGUAACGUACGUCGGUAGUAACCUACGCCGUACUACUGGGGGAGUAACACUUAGUAAAUAGGUGCUAAUACCGCAUAAGCGCACAGUCUCGCGUGAGACGGUGUGAAAAACUACCGGUGGUAUACGAUGGAUCCGCGUCUGAUUAGCUUGUUGGCGGGGUAACAGCCCACCAAGGCGACGAUCAGUAGCCGGCCUGAGAGGGUGAACGGCCACAUUGGGACUGAGACACGGCCCAAACUCCUACGGAAGGCAGCAG